GGAGACCGGCGACGCUCUCCGCCGCGACCGAAAGUCUCACACGCCCUGAGCAGAUGAACCGGUCCCUCGGUCCGGUCUGCCCUCCCGCACCGGCGCCUUUGGGCUCAGCGGGCCAGUGGCCAGAUGGCGAGAGUAAAUUGGGGGAAUUUCUUUCGUUUCCAUCGAACCCCACACUACGUCUACUCUUUCGGCUUUCUCAGCCGUUGUCCCCCAACUCUUGUUUCUUUUUCACGUCUUGUCCCCCACCCCAUUUUUCUUCUUCCAUAUUAUCCAGGUUCUGGAUCUCAUCAGCUUUGUCCUCGUCACCCCUCUGGGAGUUCAGCCUCCUAAGGCUGUGAAACAGCCCAAAAGGCCCGGACACGCUACUCCAAAACGUCUCUCCUGGGCUGUGUGAACAAUAAGAGCUAUUUGGGGACGACAGGAAAAGAUAUGGCCCAUAGAAGGGCUCCUGAAAUCUAACCUUGCGACUCUUUAAAAGUUUCUUGUCCCUUGUGGAAAAGGUGCCGUUUUGGUUUUGGGGAAUGGGAGGUCCCUUCAGACAAUUCAUUUUAGCCAAACCCUCGCUUUUGAGAAGGGGAAGAAAUGGGAUUAUUGUAACACCAUACAGUACUAAUUUCAAAAUAAAUCAUCUAGAAUAGAGGAGAGAGAGAGUCCCCAAA
rnacentral:lncRNA from 1 species